UAGUACUAGGAUUUUGGAAAGGG
rnacentral:miRNA from 1 species